CUCGUAGGUGGCCAACUAAGUCAGACGUGAAAUCCCUCGGCUUAACCGGGGAACUGCGUCUGAUACUGGAUGGCUUGAGUUUGGGAGAGGGACGCGGAAUUCCAGGUGUAGCGGUGAAAUGCGUAGAUAUCUGGAGGAACACCGGUGGCGAAGGCGGCGUCCUGGACCAACACUGACACUGAGGAGCGAAAGCCAGGGGGAGCAAACGG
rnacentral:rRNA from 1 species